rnacentral:rRNA from 2 species
AAAUUGAAGAGUUUGAUCAUGGCUCAGAUUGAACGCUGGCGGCAGGCCUAACACAUGCAAGUCGAACGGUAACAGGAAGCAGCUUGCUGUUUCGCUGACGAGUGGCGGACGGGUGAGUAAUGUCUGGGAAACUGCCUGAUGGAGGGGGAUAACUACUGGAAACGGUAGCUAAUACCGCAUAACGUCGCAAGACCAAAGAGGGGGACCUUCGGGCCUCUUGCCAUCGGAUGUGCCCAGAUGGGAUUAGCUAGUAG